UUGAUUCAUCUCUGUAUUUUUGGCACUUUCUCCCCGUUUUCCAGAAGGCGCCUGGAACAUAGAAAUUUGUGGACUAUGUUAGACCCAGAAGCACACUCAGCCCCACUGUGAAUGAACCUUGCUUCAUAAGGACGUGAUUAAAAUUGAGCAUUAACGGGAUGGCACAGGACAGACCUGACCUGCCUCUAUUUCAUUUAGUUAACAAGGUGUAAAACUCGACACACUACUGGAGUCAUGCACGUUGCAUCCUCUACCUUUGCUAUCCGAGGUGCUAUCGUCCCUCUCGAGUAGAGUCCAGGGAAAAUGAGUUGCUAAAUCCAGGCAGCGCAGGCAGAUGUUGAGGAAGGAUGCUGACCUGCUGGAGGUCCCUGCAGAGGGAAGGGACCGGAGGCGCUCAGAUCACGUCGGGACACUUACCUGUUCACAGCUGUCAUUGCAUUUUGCGCCGUCUGUCUCAUUAAACACGUUAAAGUAAAGCAAUAUUCA